AUCCGGGGGAGUAGAUUUUAUACAUGGGCAAUGUUAACUUGUGCCCUUGAGGCACAUGAUAAGAAGCAAUAAAUGAUGGUUGGUCCCACCUAAAAUUAACUUCAGUCAAAAUAAUAUAAAAAAGUUUGUUUUUAUUUAUUGUUUUCCAAAAUUACCCUCUAGUGUGACGGGUUAGAUCAGAUUUUUCCAAAAGAUUGGUUUUUUUUUCUUUUUUCUUUUCCAAAAGCACCAUAGCCGCUGGGAGUUAUGUUUUUCCAAUUAGUUUUAUGUUUUUCCAAAACCACCAUAGCCAAUCACCAUAGCCAAUUCUAGAUCUAGAGGAUAACCACAAAACAGAAAAAGCAAUAGAAUCACACAGCAGAAGAAAGUUUCGGAAGAACAAAAACUAAUUGAAAUGUUGAAACACCUAUUCCAAAUCGUCGUCGGCUGUGUUCAGAGUAGUGUCGCGGAUGUCCCUUUCGCCACCAUCUUUCGCCACCGUUUUCCUUCACCGGGUAAAAAAUUGGUUGAUUUGCAUCCAUUUGAGUUAUCUUUUUCUUUUACUUUUCAAUUUGUUAUUUUUUCCAUGUUGGAAGUGUAGAUUUUGGGAUGAAUGAGCAGCUAUGGUGGUUCUUGGGUUGGUCACUGAGGAUUGAGAGGAUAGGUCGACAACGAAGGAAGGAGUGGAUCCUCUGGUUUACUUUUAUGAAUGAUUUUUUGAAUAAAUUAAAAUAAAUGACACGUGGCAUGAUCAGGUACGUGAGAUUGAUCUAACGGGUGUGAUUGGGCCAAAGGCAGGCUGACUAUUACUCUUCCUAAAGUUUCCCAGGUUCCCGCUAAUUUGUUAUAGACUCAGGGUCUGUUAUACUUCCCACCAUAUAUUCUUAAGAAAAACACAUUGGUGGAUUGAAGUAUUAACCAUGGAUUUGUCUUUUCUUCAAAGUCCAAAUGCACAAUCUUUUCUUCGUGGCUCAAAGGCAUAUCAGGUACUUUUAUUAAGUUUUUUUUUUUUCUCCUUUUUCUCCACAGCUCUUGUGAAUUUGUAUAGUAUUCUGAUUUUUUGUUUCUUUUAUGCUUUAACACUUGCAACAUGCAUAGAUUUUUGUAAAGGUGGAAAAGAGCUAUCACAUAACAUGAAUACUUGUGGAUUGUGCAAAGAUGUAGGACAUAAUGUUGCGACAUGUGAAAAAGGAAAAACUCAAUUUUCUGGACAUUCAAAGAAGAAGAAACAAAUUUGUAAGGAUGCAAAUUUAAAUCCAGUUCUUCUUCCAAAAGUUUAGGAAUAUGUUGCUAAUGUAGCAUGUUGAGUGAUGCUUCAGAGUUUAGAAAAGAAAGUUGAUGUUGGCAUAAGCAUGCAUGAAGGCCUUGAAUUUAGUUUUUAUGAAAUUUUCAUUUUAAUUAAACUUUUGAACCUCUGAUUCGGAAUUUUUUGUAUUGCAAUGGUAUCAUUUGAUUUGAAUUGUUGAUUUA